GACAGCAUGGUGUAGUGGUUUGAGCACUGGACUACAACUCCAGAUACCAGGGUUCGAAUCCCAUCUCACCA